CGUCGUCAGAGGCAACCUUCAGCUCUUGACAAAAAUGCCACGCCCUCCGUUUCUCAGUGUUACUCAUACUUUUUUUUUUUAAGUACCAAUGUUUUUUUGGAUGGCGUAAACCCAAGGCACUGAGAGUGAGAAAAGAAAAGCAAGGCGGGAGAAUGGGAGGCAAAAAAUUCCCUUAGAGGCUUCGACUACAAUUGACCCUUCAACAACACCAGAGGGUUAGGGGCCCUGAGCCCGCGCAGUCAAAAAUCUGCCUAUAACUUUUGAUUUCCUAAGAUUUUACUUUGCUAUUUGUUAAAUAACAAAAUUCAACCGAGUAAAUUCUAAACACUUGCUUUUCACAUUUAGUUCUUUCAUUCAUUUGGAACUGACAUUUUGUGCAUGUCGUAACAGAGAUCCAAUUUUAUUUUUCAGUGUGAAUGAUAAAUGUAUGGCUUUAUUACUGAAUCUAUAAAUUGGACGUGAAUCUAUA